rnacentral:lncRNA from 1 species
UUAUGAACGUGAUUUUCACAUGGAUGCUGCAGAUCUGAACUCAGACCCCCAUGUUUGCAUAGCAAGCCCUCAACCCACUGAACCACCUCUCCAGCCCUUCGGUGCUCUUAAUUUAAACUCUACCAUCGAGCCGUUCUUCCUGCUAUUUGCCUUAGUAAAAGCCAAUUUCACUAUUGCCCCCACUCAAACCAAACCCGAUGAAGCUUUCUUUUCUUACAUAUACACUUUUGAUUUUUAUAUUUUAAAAAAUUAGGUGUAUGUGUUUGUGCAUGGGAGAUGUGGAUAUGUGCAUAUGUGUGCAGAUGCCUACAGAGGCCAGAGGCAUCUGAUCCCCCCAAAGCUGAGACAAUUGAGAGCUGUGGGAGACUCAAUUCCUCUGCAAAAGCAGUAUGUGGUCUUGACCACUGAGCUAUCUCGCCAGCCCCUGUAAGUAUUUUUAUUUUGAUAGCUUCUUCUUCUUUUUUUUUUUUUUAACAGAAUGCAAUGCCCACCAUGCACACUGUUCCUAGUGCUAAAUAAAAGUGUCCAAAGCCUACAAAACUACUACUUGUCACGGAUUCAGAUUUCUAAUUAGGAGACAGAGGACAGCGGAACACCUGGGUCAGCUGCUGACCAGUGUGGUGAGAGAACACCAGCGCAGGGCAGAGGGCAGAGGCUGAAGGAGGAGGGUGGAACACUGCUGCUUCAUUAGGAGACACGUCGUGGAGAAGGUGGACUUUGUCUAAAGAUCUGAAGGCAAAGAUGAGGUGCUACCUGAGGAAGAGUCUUCUAGAACAAGGGGGCCCAGUGUGCAAAGACACUUGGAGUAGAGGCUCUGGUCUUGGCAAACAUGUGUACUCUAUUCAGUCCCUUAGAGAACACCACGGGCUCGUCAUCUGAAAUACAGCGUCCACCCUCAUUGCUUUCUCUCUUCCUCAGACCACACUUCAAUAAUCACUGCCUCAUUACUUUCAUGGUCUAAUUUCUGGACCCCUAUAUCUUGUCCCCCACACACAUACACUUAUACCCUCUUCAGCAUAGAUGCUAUGUGAUUCUAUUAAAACAAGUCUAUUCGUGCUAGGUUUCAAAGUCUCCCAUGGUUUCACAAAUCACGCCACACAAAUGCCUCGCAUCUUGUCCAUUGCCUGCUCAGCCCCCACCCCCACCCCCUGCCUCUAACCCGUCACUCAUAUGCCUAAACUCGCUCACUCAGCCUCGUCUCCAGUCCUUCAGACUCCUCCUGUUCUACAAGCUUCGGAAGUCAGCAUUUAUCUGGCAUUAAGAACAGCGUGUGUGGUAGCUACUCAAUAGCUCCUUGUUGAAAAGGGUACUGCUCUGUCACUGGAAAAAGCCUUGAGCGUAUGAAUACACAUGCUGUGGUAACUGAGCUCUGUGACAUCCCUCAAUGACCCUUGCCUUCUGGCUGCCCUGCCUUGGUGGACUCUCCUCCCACAAUGGAUCAGAGUGAACCUAUUUGACCCAGAGAUUACAUGAUGGUGUGUGACUUCCCAGAUUAGAUUACAAGACAUAGAACAAUCACUACUUUUUCCUCUGAGGGGCGCCAGUUGCCGUGGGAGCACUCAUCUACCCUGAAAGUGAGUUCAGUGGCAAGUGACUGAGACCUCCAUCCAAUAACCAGUACCACCCCCAUCUAGUAACCAAUACCACUUCCCCAUCUAAUAACCAAUAUUACCCACCCAUCCCCAUUUAAUGACCAACACCAUUUGCCAGCCACUGAAAGAGAUUUGCCUGCUUAUAACUAAGUUUUCAUAUGGCCACAACUUUGGUCAACAUCUUGACUAAAACUUCAUGAGUGACUGUCCAAGGCAGAACCAAUCAGCUGAUGUUCUCAUUUCUGGUACACAGGUAACAUUCGAGACUACCCUUACUGUUUAGUGGUACUGCUUUGGGAGAAAUUUAUACCUGGAUUUACUAUAUGGAAAUGCUGUAUCCGAAAUCUAAAAUGUGAGUAGAAUCCUGCAAUCCAACACUGAGUAAGAACCAGGAGGAUAAAGAUGAAGAUGAAGAUAAAGUGAAAACACUAAACGACUUUGAAGUGACAGCCACUGGGGCUAAUGGGACAUGAGGAAAACAUCACUCUGCAUGAGAAGAAAGGAGAACCUUUUUAAGUACUGGUAAGAAAGUUAGCAUGCUGUUGCCUGGGACAAAGUAGAAAUGCUCCUGUUGACAUGGGGACAUCUAUCUGAGGAAAUUCCCAGGCAGGGUAUUAAAGAGUAUGGGUUUAGACUUUCUAUAAAAUACAAUGAGACAAAUAAGCUAAAAGAAGAGCUAUUUUAAUUUUUAAUUUUUUUAAAAUUUAAAGUAAAAAAAAUGCUAUAUUUAAAGGUUCCUAGCCUCUAUGGAUGCCUCGGUGCUAGACUGUGAAAAUGCCUUCUAGGUAAAGAUAACAUCAGAGGCAUCAGAGGAAAGCAUGAUAAGAAGAUAAAGCCUACCUUGUGUUUGUAAAAUCACUUGUUAAGAUCUGGGAAUAUCCAGGCAGUGCCUUGGGGAACAACUGAGAGGAACAACAGAGGCUUCUAACGAGGCUAAAGGUCAUACUCUUGUGCAGUCCCCAAAUCCCCAUGGCAGCCUAACAUCCAAGAAUGAUCUUCUCAGAAGACCCAUGGUCGUGGUCUUAACAAAUGUAAUGAGCAUCACUCAUAUUUCCAGAGGAACCACAACUUUUAUAGACUUAGCGAGGCCAUAUCUAACGAGGACUCAAAGAGACAUGGACAAUUUAAAGUGAAGAGGCCUCUGAACUCUAGGAAGAAGGGAAACCAUGAAAGCAGAAAAUAUGGACUGUGUGUAUGGAAAGACACUCUAGAAAGCACAGAAGGAGCCGAGAACCAGAGGGACCUAUUCUCUGGCUCUGGCUCUUAAUCAGGGAGGGACUCCUGCAGGUCCUGAUGAAGUUCUGUUCUGCUAUGGACCAGUGUGUCUUGUGUGAUGGCUAUCUUUCUCCUCUGUGUGUCAUCCCCUCAUGCUCUCCUUGAAUAUUGAGUUUCAUGUUAGGUUUCAGCAGACAGAUAACCUAUGUCUUCAGAGCCUAGGCCACAAACAAACCCCAAUAACAACUAAAACUUUUGUGUGAAACCAAAAGGGAAAUUGAAAAAAGUCUUGAAGACCAGUGAAAAAGGAAAUAAAGCAAUAACAAACACAGGGUGCGGCAAAAGAAAUCCAGGGUUUUAGGAGUCAAGAAAUGGGCUUGAGUCUCCCUAGGCUUCUGUAGAGGCAGAGCUGAAGCAAUGCUGAGAUGGGAGUGAGAGACUUGGAAGGGAUACAACUCUGCACGUUAAAAGUCACAAAUCAAUGGGUGCCUAAGAAGAAGAAAUGCAACAAAACAGAAAAGAUCAGUGAAACUUGAAGCUUUUUUUUUUUAAAGAUUAAAGCGAACAAACUUUUACCUAGAUUAGUAAGAGGGAAGAGUCAAAUAAGCAAUUGACAUCAUAAAAUGAAGAAGACGUCACAGUUAGUACUGCAGAAUCACAAAGCCUAAGAGACUGGGGUGAGCAGGAUCUUCAACAAGCCGAACAACCUAGAAGAGAUGGACAGGUUCCUCAGAACGACAGCCUAACAGGAUGGAGCCACAGACAGAGACUGACGGAUUAGUAACCAGUGUGGAGAUGGAAGUAUCUCCAGGACCUCACCCCGGCUUCCCAAUGGUUCCCUGGUUCUUGUGAUCUCAACUGACCUAUUGUAGAUGCUAUAGGUAAGGUUUAUUACAGAGUAAUUGGAAACACUCUCACAGAGUGAGACUAGACAAUGGCCAGAGAGACCAUUACAAGGAGCUACACAUUUAGUGUGACUCAUAGCACUUUCUGAAGUCUCUGGGGGCAGAGAGCUUUCCCAAGGGGCAUUUUCCUGCUUGAGUGACUGACAGGCCUAUCUAGAUGAAUUCUUCAAGAGGAAGACAGUAACAAGUCUUUGUUCCUUACCAAAAGGCCUCCAGCAAUCUUGGGAUCUUUUUGGGUAGUUCAGACAGUCUCUCUUCCCCAUGGCCAAAGAUAUGACUCUCACCCCAUUUUUUUUUUCUGAAAUCAUGCAUCAGCACAGAUUAGCAAGAAGUAAAGAAAGAAAACUAAGCAAGUAUAAGGAAUAACCAUGCUUUCUUUAGCAGAAGCAGGAAGGUCUUCCCUGCCUGGACCCCAAGAAAGCAUGCUAUGUCCCCCUUUCUCACCUAUGUCUAAUCCAUAGUCCCCCGUCGUGGGAUCUUAGAUCUUGGGGGCAACUUGAUAUCUUCUCUCCAUUUCCACAUGCCUAAGAAGGUCAAUUAUGAUGUUUCCCCCCUUUUAUAAAACAGAGAGGCAAGAUGGCGUCCAAAGCUGAUUAUGAAGGAGGAGGUUCAUCCUCAGCAACCUUCAAGCUUGCUCAUUUCUAAGUAGCAAACACUAUCAACAAUCAUGAAGUCUGGAGCUUAGAAGAAUGUGGUAAUGUGCAGGACUAGAAGGGAGGGAGCCCUGUUUCGAGGUUGCAUCCACACUUUUAAACUCUCCUGAAGUCUCUAUGAUAAGAGGAAUCUAACCGAAACGAUUGGCUUGCAAACAUCUCGGCACUACUAAGUACAACACACACAGGGCCAUUCUAUCAAAGCCUUGAGUUAGAGGUCCGCUCUGAGAACCAUGCUCUGCAGACCAUGCUCUGAGGACCACGCCCCGCUGUGAGAAAAACAGAGCCGACCUCACACCUUGGUACCUCCCCGUCUUCAAUAGAUUAAAAAGGACUGCAGCAAGAGCUUGCAAGCCUCUCUCUCACUUCCUCUCUCUUGCUCAGGAGAACUGUGAGAACUAACUGUUGAUCUGAAAGCAACCAUGAUUUGCUACAGAGGUGCGAGCUUGCACAGAGACCUGUGAAAUCCCACAGAACACAGGAAGUGUCUAAUUCCGCUGGAUCGGGCUGGUGUCAAGGCAGCUGACAGCUUCAGAGCCAAGAGCCUCCAGAAUCCUUUUUGGUAAGGAAUGUCAGCUACAAGGGGAAUCCCUACCUCACCAUCUACACAGAGUUCAAAGGAAAUGCAGAUUUAAUCAUUUGGUUUCUGUGUGACUUUCAAGUCAAAGUGAAACUAGAAUGUGAAUAUCAGAGCGUGUGAACCUUUUUGGUACGAAGCCUGGGUUCCCCUCUUACUGCUGCGGUGUGUAGAGGAUUGUGCAAUGUAAUAGCAGCAUCCAAGAUACACAGGGUCUCUGCUUCGACUCUCAAGAUGACUGCUGAUGCUCGGAGCUGAGCUGCAGAGUGCAGCAGCUCAUUGUUUGGGCCAGGAGUGUGCACGUGAAAAAUGACUCGCCGCACACUCUGCUUCCAUUCUGGUGCUCCGGGAAUGGAUUGACUUCAAAGAACUCUUUAAAAAUUAAAGUUAGGGGGACUGGAGAGAUGGCUCACUGGUUGAGAUUACUGACCGCUCUUCCAGAGGAGCCAGGUUCAAUUCCCAGCACCUAUAUGGCAGUUCAUAACUGUCUGUAACUCCAAGAUCUGACACCCUGAUGCAGACAUACAUGCAAACAAAACACCAAUGCACAUGAAAUAAAACUAAACUUAGAAUGCCACCUAGCAGUAGUGAAACUAAGUUCAAUCCCCAGAGCCAUUAAAUAAAUAUAAUGCAUGUAUAUGCAUAUAUACAUAUACAUAAUCUAUUUAUAAUUUAUAUUUCUCCAUUGGUGAACAAAAGUUAGAAUACAUGUUCAUUGUUAAAAAUAAGAAACAGAACACGGGUGAUGACCAACCUAAACAUCACCAGUGUGGUCUUACACAAAUAGGUUCCCUUUUCUUAUUUCAUUUAGAAACCCACUAAGCAAUUGGUGUAAUACUCCAUUUAGAGCAAGAACACCACAGAGUUGUCUCUGAUAUCCACAUAAAUGCUAUGACAUGCUUGCCUCCCUAUAUACACACAUCAUGUAUGUGUGUGUGUAAACACAUACACACACACACACACACACACACACACACACAGAGAGAGAGAGAGAGAGAGAGAGAGAGAGAGAGAGAGAGAGAGAGAUAUUAAAAAUAAAUCUAGUACCAGAACCUGAGUUUGAUCCCCCAAACCAUGUAAAAAAAAAAUCCAACCAUGUGAUGUAUGCUUGUAAUUCUAGCUCAGGGGAGGGAGAGCCAGGCAGACAGAUCCCUUUGUCUGAAGAAAGAAAGUGGAUGUCUCCAUGGAAGGACACCUGAAGUUAACCUCUGACCCCCACAGGCAUGCACAUGCAUAUGAACAUGUACCCACACACAUGAACAUACACAGGAAAACACUUCUCUUACGCCAUGCAUACCAUAAUUUGUAUAAAAUUCCACCAUAAAGGAGAGCUGGUUUCAGCUUCCUUUAUUAUAAACUAUACUGCAGCAACUAUAUGUGAAUACACAUUUUUUUCUGUUUAGCAUCAAUUUCGUACUAUUAAAUUUUCAAAAAAUUGAAAUUAAGACCAAAUUUCAGUGGUUUUUAAUGUUUCAUAAUUAACUUUGCUUCUUUACCAUGGCUUUAAAAAUAUUUAUAAAGGGCUGGAGAGAUGGCUUAGCUGUUAAGAGCACUUGGCUGCUCUUUCAGAAGUCCUGAGUUCAAAACACCAAUGCACAGAAAAUAAAAAUACAAAAUAAAACCCAACAAAAACCUAUAAGAUACCAAUUAUGAGGACAAACUUGGGGUCUCAAACUUUAUAAAUACUUCUUGAAACAUGCAAGACUGCCUUGGUAAGUAGGCCACUUAACCAGUGGGAAGGGACUGUGUCCGGCUGCCCUCAGCGAAAGGCAAUGGUCUGUGUUCCCAAGGUCACCAGGCCCCUUUGUCCAUUCUUCCCGUUAGCCCCAGGGUGGCCACCUUGGUGAAAUCUCCUAUUUCUGUUUUCACCAUAAUCCAUUUUUAAAUUUGUGUUUCAGGAGAGGCAGCUGAGCCCUGCUUAUUGGUGCUGCCAGAGAAAUGACACUUUUGGGGAAUGAGCCACUCAAAGGAACUUGACUGAAAAGGGAGCAGAAGGAUGGAAUGGCCCCAGGGACCUGUGGUCCUUCCUGAUCCCUUGGUGUUUUGAGGCUCUUUUGAACUCUUUGGAUUCACUUUGAACUAA